rnacentral:misc_RNA from 1 species
AAGUCGUAACAAGGUUUCCGUAGGUGAACCUGCGGAAGGAUCAUUAUCACGUAUCCACGUAUAAACCAAUCGAGCACUGUCUUUGCCUUUGGGAGUUUAGCUGAAUGAGAAUGGGUUCAUUGUGUGAUUUUGAACCGCUCAUUUACUUUGAAUGUUUUCUCCGGAAUCAUUCAUGAUAUGGCUUUUCUUCUGAAGUGUAUUUAAAUCACACUUUAAACUAUUAACCACUUGAACCUUUUAUUUUUCUUUGUUUGAACUGAUUUGUUUCUUACUCGAUCAGUAAUGGUUGAGAAGAAAUUUAUUACGAAACAUAAGAACAACUCUUAGCAACGGAUAUCUUGGUUCUG